UAUGGUCAUAUCACAUUGAGACACCAGUUCCCAUACAAUCACUGAAGUUAAGCAACAUUGAUCAUGGUCAGUACCUAGAUGGGUGACCACUUUUGAAUACCAGAUGCUGUAA